GUGGGAGCCCAAGCAACAUACCAAGGCAUAUUGUAGACAUUUCCAAGUGCUCAAACACCCAAGUGCUUAAUAGAAUCACUUGGUGAUUAGCGUAGGUGCUUUGCGAAGUGCUUAGGUUAGUUAGACCGCAUUAGCGCUUGCUCUAGGUGAAUCCUAGUUUGUUGAGUGAGUUUAGACAAACCACACAACCCCUCGGCUCUUGCGUGUGCCAUUGUAAUUGUACCGAGUGGGGCGAGAGUCUUGCGAGACCGUGACAACCGCGUUUGUGUCACGGCCGCCACCGUGUACCGGAGAGAACGAGGCCCGCAGCGUUUCGGCCGGAAGCUCGAUACUGGAGACGGCGGGGAGCGUCCGAGAGGAGCCAGAAGCGGAGCACCACUUGCGCGUGGAGAAGGCCCACAGCUCUCUACGGAGUUACUCGACCGUGGUGCUUGGCCCUCGCGUGGGCUUCCCUUUGCGUAGGGGCACCAACGAGGAUUAGUCGGGACCUUGCGUGGUUUCGGAUACCUCGGUAAAAAUACCGGCGUCAUCCAUGAGAGUUUGCUUCUCUACUUUGCUCUUUAAGUUUUACGGUAGAGAUAGCAACACUUAGACAAAACCUAGAUUGCACUUUCUAGUUUGAUUAUUUGCAUAGGUUUUGCUCUAGGGAUUUAUUUGUGGCCUAGUUUAGUAAAAGUUUUAGAAGUCCUAAUUCACCCCCCCUCUUAGGCGUCACCCGUUUCCUACAAUGAUAAAAAAGAAAGGAAUAUCUUCAUGCCGGUGAGCGGGUAUAGGGAUGACAAAAAAAGAAAGGUAUAUCUUCAUGUCGGUGAGCGGGUACAGGGAUGACAAAAAAAAGAAAGGGUGAGAUUAUGAAGGUUUAAUUAUGCCAGAGAUCAAAUAAAAACAUGUGUUGAGUUUCCAGAGUGUUUUGUAUAGGAUUGCUGGUCAAACAUGAGCUAUCACUGAGAGAGAAGAAUCAUGUCUCUGGUGUUUCUACCUGCGUGGUGUCUCCCCUUCAAUGCGUGCCCUCUUCCCUCCGGUUCUCCCUGAUUCUCACAGCGAAAACAGUAGGGGAAGCCCUAAACAAACUAGUUCUUGAGGCAUUUGGCAAUGCAAAAAACUAUCAGGAACAAUUCAAGUCGUUUUGGAAUUUUUUUGUUGAGAUUCAGUUUGAUGCAAAUGGGAAGAUAUCACGAGCUGCUAUAAGGGCCUAUCUUGUUGAAAGAUCCCGUGUCUGUCAAAUAUCUGAUCCAGAAAGAAACUACCACUGCUUUUGCAUGCUCUGUUCUGCACCAUCAGAAGAUUUUUUCUUGCAAGGCUGGUUCAUAUUUGGACCUGAUGUGAGAUCCUUGUUUCUCACCAUAUUCCCUUUUCUUGCACCCAUGGUGGUCUUCUACAUAUUUGUGCCUAAACAUUUUAUCAACGACUUCCCUGGUCAUUGGGGAGUUUUAGUUAUGGUCAUAGCGAUUGUCUUCACAAUAUACAUCCUAUGCAUACCGAUCUAUUAGAGCUCGGUCGUCACCGAUCAAAAAGGUUGCAAAUAAGCUGUUUACAAUUGAAAUCAUGAGUGAAAACAUUGAUGGAGGGUCUAGACCUCAAUGGUGGCCUAAAGCCCUAAAGGAACUUGAAGUGGGUCACUGAUUUUGUAUAGGGUACAAAAGACUCCAUCAGCCAUCCAUUCCAUCCUAUUUAGAUAGUCUUCUAACUCACCUCCUUUUUGGUACUUAUUGUUUUGUAUUAUUCUGAUGUACAAGGUAUGUAAUAUCAUAGAGAUAAAUAAGCCCCUGAUGUUACAGCUAACUAAUAAUUACUGUCUAGCGGCAAGUGUUUUAUUGUCCCAUUAACAGUUUCAACAACCCACAUUUUUUUUUAUCCAGUGCGCAUAACAAACUCACUUACAUUGAACACACUGCCACUAUUUUUAACCUUGAAUCAGGCUAGGGCUUCAUUAGAAGAAGCGAACACCUCCAUAACAUAAACUGGGUCACCAACCUUGAUGAUCUUUCCUUCGCCCUUUCCUGAUAGAGAUUCCUUGCAGAGAAAAUUCUAUUCAAAGUACACCUAAAAUAAUUUAUUAAAGUGUUCUAUUGUCAUUGUCAAUGAUCCUAACGACCAUACCAACUUGCAAGGCCAAACUUGCAAGGCCAUAGAUAAUUUCUUAGCAAACUAAGUUGGUAAUACGAGGAAGAUAGGCUACAUAAGGCAAAUACAUGUCGUUUAUUUUUAUAGCUUGGAUGAAGCACUUGGUCGGACCAAAAUGUUCAUAGAGUUUCAGUUGGUUCGGUGCCAGGUACU